AAACAGCCCCCUAUGUAUUGGAUCUUUGGCAGUUUUGGCCCCAAUGCCACUUUUAACUUACUCUUCGCUGACAUGGUACCCACAAUGGUCGACACGUGACACCUCACUUAAGGGAUAUGGGUACCACGUCAGCGAAGACUAAGUCAAAAGUGGCCUUGGGGGCCAAAACUGCCAAAGAUUCGAUACAUAAGGGGUUGUUU
rfam:Medicago truncatula strain A17 chromosome 7, whole genome shotgun sequence.